GGGUAUAAGUUGAUAUUUCUGUCCUGAUUUUUGCAUAGCAGGUUUUCAUUUAUAAUGUUGGCUGUGCAGCUAUGCUUUAGUUUGGUCUUUCGUUAUUUUCGCUGAGAACUCAUAAAGUGCGAAGAUGGCAUGCUUCAUUAAUUUGUUUGUACCUAAAGUACAUUAUGCUGAAGAAUUUCAUCAUGUAAUAUCAGGCCCUUAUGUUGAACGGGAAAGAACUGUUGAGACGUUCUCUCAGGCUUGAUCUAGCUCAUGAAAGGGGUGUAUAUUCCCACAGUAGCAACAACAGGAAUGAAUCAUCCCAGGAGGAUAAAUCGUUAGGAGGGAAUGAGGCUAAAAUGCCAGCUGCUCCAAAAGAACAAAAUGCCACAUCAAAGACAGUAUUUGUUGGAAACCUGUCGUAUAGCGUGGAAAGGGCUGAUUUGGAAAAUUUGUUUAAAGAUUGUGGAGAAAUUAUUGAUAUCCGUUUAGCUACAGAUCGUGAAGGGAGGUUUAAAGGAUUCGGACAUAUUGAGUUUGCCACUUAUGAAGCGGCACAAACUGCCCUUAAGUUGAAUGGAAGCGAACUGUUGAGACAAUAUAUAAGGCUUGAUUUGGCUCAUGAAAAGAUUGUGCAUUCUUUCAAUAGCGGCAUUCAUGGGAACACGGAAAACUCUGGAAGUGUUGAGUCUCAAACAGUGUUUGUAAGGGGUUUUGAUACAUCUUUAAGAGAAGAUGAGAUAAGGACCAGUCUGGGAGAGCAUUUCAGUUCUUGUGGACUAAUUUCGAGGAUAUCAAUUGCAAGAGAUUAUGACACUGGUUCUACUAAGGGGUAUGCUUGGGUAGACUUCAUGGACAUUGAUGGCUUAAACAAAGCACUAGAACUUGAUGGAACUGAGGUUGGAGGUUAUGUAUUGUCAGUGGAGAAAAGAAGACCUCGGCGUUAUAUUCAUGAUGGUAGAGGUGGUGGUGAUCAGUUAGGUGGAUGGCGUGGUGGCGAUCAAUUUGGUGGAUGGCGUGGUGGUGAUCAAUUUGGUGGGUGGCGUGGAGUUGGACAAUGGGAUCAGGGAAGAGGUUAUGGCAGGAGGUGGCAUUGAACGUCCUAUAAAUUAAGCCUCGUAGCAGGAGGCCCAGUCAUGGAUAUGAGAGAUAUCAAAUCAAUACAUGGGUGCUGGUUGGAGAACAAGGAUGAUGAGCUGAUCCGCUAUGAUAAUGCUGCAUGGAUUGAUGGAAAGUGUCAUCAAUGAUACUUAUAGUAACUAUAAUGCAUGUGGUCACCUUAGAGUUGAAGUCACUAUGACUCGCUGCAAUAGGAGUUGUACACUUUGGCGUCACGUUAUCAAGUGAUAGACAUGGCCAAAAGGCAGUGGUUGAACUUGAAUGUAUCACAAAUCAUGUAGAAUGAUAUCUGUGGGUUCCAUGAAUUAGCAGAGCUAAGAAAUGCAUGAUUGUGGGUUAUAAAAAGUUUUUAAAAGAAAGAAAAGACAUGCGUGAUUGUGCUCAGAUGAAUGAAAUAGUGAUAUUGAUUCAUUUGGUUUUGAUCAGUCUACUUGGGGAUCAAAAAAUGUAGCUUGAAUCAUAAAGACGACACAUUCCAUGCCUCAAGUUUAAUCUGGAUACUUGAAUAAGGGGGAAUAAGGAACAUGGUUUACUAAUGAUGGACUAGAUUUGUUGAAUCAUGGACAUUCCUAGCACUUCGGUAACAGAAAUAUACCGCUAGCUGUCGCCCAUUGUAAUCUAAAGAUCAUUGCUGAUGUAAUAAGAACCUUCAUAGUCCCACAAAAGAGUAGACGUAGACCAGGAAUUAAUUACGUAAUUGGGAUUAAUGGCAUGCAUAAUAUAAUUUCAUUGUCACUAUUUAGUAUUGAACUAAGUUUAAAGAAUAUCAUAUUUAGUGUUGGGCUUAAAUAUGGGUUUCAUUAUUAAUCGCGGCCAGACUAGGCUAGUAACUGAAGUUCCGUGGAAUUAUAUUUAAUAAUCUUGGCUUUAAUUAUUAGCUACAAUAACAAUGGGCCAAAAAUUAAAGCUCGAGAAAGUUAUAUUACAUUACAUUGAGUUUAAUUAAUUAGCGAAGCUAGAAAUUAUAUACACCCUGCUUGCUGUCAAAUCACUUAAGAGAGGGUGGGAGAGAAUCUUGGGCAUGCCAGCUGAGGUUUCUUCUGGCAGAGGUGAGGAGGGGAGGUCCAACCACCCCUGUAGAUGCCAUUGAGGUAAUAUGACUAUUCCCUCGCAAUGAUUCAACAAGCAAGACUCGUGUCCUGCCUCCUGUCUUCAGAUGAUUUUAUUCUGUUGGAUACGAUUCUGGGGAUCUGGAUUACUUUUGCUGAUGACGAGCGGCGCAGGAGAAUACUUUUGCUCGAGUUCUGUUGCUUCUCAUGAGAAUCAAAGGGAGCACCAUAAGCUACAGCUGGAUUUGGGAAGUUUUGUAGUUAUAUAAACCUGGCAAUGUUGUUAAAGAACUAGUAUGUUGUAGCCCCAUAAUUAUUGUGUACAGUAUCUAGUGGAUGAUAUUAUGAUGUUGAAAUUGGAAAUUGUCAAAGACCAUUGGUGUCCUCUGUACAAAAAUACUUUCUGAUUUUGGGUUAAAUUAAUGUAUGUCUCGUGUAAUGCACAAAAUUUAGUCCUCUAUACAAAAAUACUUUCUGAUUUUGGGUUAAA